GAUGAAGAACGCAGCGAAAUGCGAUAAGUAGUGUGAAUUGCAGAAUUCAGUGAAUCAUCGAAUCUUUGAACGCACAUUGCGCCCCUUGGUAUUCCAUGGGGCAUGCCUGUUCGAGCGUCAUUUGUACCCUCAAGCUCUGCUUGGUGUUGGGUGUUAGUCCCGCUUUACGCGUGGACUCGCCUUAAAGCAAUUGGCAGCCGGCAAUCUGGUUAUAGAGCGCAGCACAUUUUGCGCUUCUUGCCAUGGAUGUCGGCGUCCAUCAAGUACAUUUUUUUGCUCUUGACCUCGGAUCAGGUAGGGAUACCCGCUGAACUUAAGCAUAUCAAUAAGCGGAGGA
rnacentral:misc_RNA from 1 species